rnacentral:rRNA from 1 species
UAAGACGUAGGGGGCGAACGUUGCUCGGAAUUACUGGGCGUAAAGGGUGUGUAGGUGGCUGAGUAAGUCAAAGAUGAAAUCCCAAAGCUUAACUUUGGAAUUGUUUUUGAAACUGUUCAGCUUGAGGAUAGUUGAGGAAGACGGAAUUCCCGGUGGAGCGGUGAAAUGCGUAGAUAUCGGGAGGAACACCAGAGGCGAAGGCGGUUUUCUAAGCUAUUCCUGACACUGAGACACGAAAGCUAGGGGAGCGAACGGGAUUAGAUACCCCGGUAGUCCUAGCCGUAAACGAUGGGCACUAGAUGUUUCCGUUUUAAACGGGAGUGUCGUAGCUAACGCGUUAAGUGCCCCGCCUGGGGAGUACGGUCGCAAGGCUG